AUUCUGCCCAAGCGGGGAAGGAUGAGAAGCUUCGACCAAGGUUCGACUUGAGCGCCAGCGAGAGAGCGUUGCCGCAGGCAACGACCCGAAGGGCGAAACGCGCAGCGCUGAGUAAUCCUUCCCCCACCACCA
rnacentral:sRNA from 2 species